ACUGUUUAAUAUUAUAUCAUGUUGAAUUUUUCCCAAUGGUAAUCUUAUGAUGGCUGCAGCUACCUGUUAACUUCAACAAGCACAGUGGCCUGGAGACUACAUGAUGGUGUAUCAGUGAUGGUAAGAGCAUCCUUUUCCCUAGUAUUACUAGGUUACAUUGUACCUUUUCUCUUCCACAUGAUGGAGAUCUUCAAAGUAAGCAUCUUUCAAAGCAGUGACAAGCAAAAUACAGCUGGAAGAUCAGUAACUCCCUGUUAAGCAGCUUUGCUUGCUGUCAUUGUUGACUGCCAGGGGGUGGUGAUCCAUGUCAGUCACUAAAAUGACACCUUGGCAAGACUAAAGUCUGCUCCUGGAGUUUUUGUGUAUGGAAACAAUUUUAAGGUAAUGAGAUUUUCAUAUAUUUCUAGCA
rnacentral:lncRNA from 1 species